GCGGCUCUCCAGGACUGGGAUUGAGGACCCCUGGUCUAGAGGGUCAUGUGAAAGUAAAGAAAUAAGGGUGAGGAUUUACUUUCUGGAAAGAAGCCAUGUGCCUUGUCUUCUUAUUGUGUGUUUUAUUGCCACCUGCCUUGCCAUCCUGAAGUGUUUGUCUUUAUAAUUGCAGCACACCACACCACACCAAAGUGCCAGGAGGCAAAGACACUUGAUCGUCCCUGAUAUCUAUUGUUUAGCGCCUCCAACACGCAAACAAGACAGCAGAGGAAGAAACAAAGUGCAUCUGGAGUAGUAAAUGUUAGAAAUGUGGUAGAAAUGUCAAUGGCACCAUUGAAGGAAAGUUCUAAAUGCUGGAAUAAAAGAGCUGAUAAAUAUUCCAGUUUCCUUCCUCAUCUCAAAGACAAGAAGGAUCAGGUUUAUUGGACAAUGACGUUGUUUGUAUGAAUGCGAGUGUACUGGGCAAUGGAUUGAUACCACCUGUGAGGAAUUGGUCAGUACUGCAGACUGCACUACCCCUGGACCCACUAGCAGUGUGGAUGUGAUCGCAAGUAAUGUCGAAUUUGAAGAAUUUGUGUUUUAGGCACAACAUUGGCCCCUGAUCCACCAAGAACACAAGAAGAUAAUAUUUUUCCAGUGGGAUCAGACACACAAGAAGAUAAUAUUUUUCCAGUGGGAUCAGACAUUUGUUAAACUUGAGGGUUUGACAAAAAAAGAGAAUGAAGGGUAAGACAGAUUGCAUCUCCAGAUCCUGCUGUAAUAACACGGCAUGGAGCACAUUCAGACGGAGGAAUGAGUUAUGGCCCAAGGGAGAGACUCCAGCCCCAACCAGCAAUGGUGGAAACACUUUGCAACCUUGCAACAAGUGUUGUCUGCUCAUAGUCUUUUUUGACAUGACAAUGGUACAGUUUGCUUUAAUAUAUUACGUAUGGUAUUAUGACAGAGCAUGUAUUUAGAAAAUACUCCACUUGUCAGACAAAACUCCUGUUCUACUUAGAGGUUUGUGUUCUACUCAGAGAAUACCAGAUCAGAAACAGUAUAAUCUAAGAACUAGGGGCCCCUACAUGCAAGUUAUAAACAUGCAAGGUCAAAAAACAAGCCUGAUUUAGCCCAAGGGCUAGAGUAAAAUGCUGAGUUGGCAGAACAUACGUUUUGAGAACAUAAGUCAGGCUUAAACAGAAUGGGUCAAAGAUAGGCCAGAACACGAAAGGAGAGUCAGCUCCUACAGAGCACAAGUAACAUUGGUUCAAGAGGUGAAUCAAGGCUAAACUCAGGCUAACAGAGCAACUCUAUUAUUCCAUUCAUCCAGAAAACCUGCCAGAUCAGAGACCAAUCAGCUUACUAAGACAAAGAGCCACCUUAUUAUCUGGCCACAAAGAGCUGCUAUCCAUCCAGGUUGUAGUUUGAUGUGAUUUGUCACACUCUUCACUCUGUUUUAGACACAUUAGAAAUUUUAAGUUAAUUAUUAUAUAUGUAUGUGCAGGUCCAUGUAAUAAAGAGUCUGAAAGUGGGAGCAGGGUCACCUUAGGACCUUUCCAUGAUAAAUCAUAGGUGUUUGGGUCUUUUAGUUGUUUUCCCAUUGCAAUGUUCUGGCAGUCUUGGUUAAAAACAAUUGGAGUGGCUUUACAUUCCUUGUACUUCACACUGGUCAGCAUUUAUCAAUGGAAAUGACUUACUGUUGUACUUCUUUGGAUUGAAGACAUGCAGCAACCUGCACUUAUAGUCGCUCUGAAUGCCCAAGUUGGCAGCAGCUUUGAGUAGAAUUGAAAUCAGUAGGUCACGAAGUCAAAGAUUUCAAACCGAUUUUCAAAAACAAAAAAUUAAGGAAACACUGGUUAGAACAUGUUUCUUGAAUUGUAGUCAGGAAACGGUUAAGUAAAGUUUGAUAACCAGAAAUUAAGAGGAACAUGUUCUAAGAGCCACACUGUAAAUUGUAGUCAAAGCACAGGGCAAAAUAAUUUGUUAUCAGGAUUACAAAAAACAACAAAAAAUGAAAGCAAAGGUCUUUUGGAAGAAUCCAGUUUUGGACAACCAGGAAGUCCACGAUGUUGGCCUUUAUACCUUUAACCCGGUGAUAUCAUUCACUGCACACUGGUUCACUUUACCUAGCAACAGCAUAGCAGUACUCUCUCUUCUGUCUCUUUUUCCGGUUUCUUUGUGGUGGCGGCCUGCGCCACCACCACCUACUCAAA